rnacentral:rRNA from 1 species
AUUGAGUUGCGAACGGGUGAGUAACACGUGGGUAACCUGCCCAUCAGAAGGGGAUAACACUUGGGAACAGGUGCUAAUACCGUAUAACAAUCGAAACCGCAUGGUUUCGUUUUGAAAGGCGCUUUACGGUGCCGCUGAUGGAUGGACCCGCGGUGCAUUAGCUAGUUGGUGAGGUAACGGCUCACCAAGGCCACGAUGCAUAGCCGACCUGAGAGGGUGAUCGGCCGCAUUGGGACUGAGACACGGCCCAAACUCCUACGGGAGGCAGCAGUAGGGAAUCUUCGGCAAUGGACGAAAGUCUGACCGAGCAACGCCGCGUGAGUGAAGAAGGUUUUCGGAUCGUAAAACUCUGUUGUUAGAGAAGAACAAGGGUGAGAGUAACUGUUCACCCCUUGACGGUAUCUAACCAGAAAGCCACGGCUAACUACGUGCCAGCAGCCGCGGUAAUACGUAGGUGGCAAGCGUUGUCCGGAUUUAUUGGGCGUAAAGCGAGCGCAGGCGGUUUCUUAAGUCUGAUGUGAAAGCCCCCGGCUCAACCGGGGAGGGUCAUUGGAAACUGGGAGACUUGAGUGCAGAAGAGGAGAGUGGAAUUCCAUGUGUAGCGGUGAAAUGCGUAGAUAUAUGGAGGAACACCAGUGGCGAAGGCGGCUCUCUGGUCUGUAACUGACGCUGAGGCUCGAAAGCGUGGGGAGCAAACAGGAUUAGAUACCCUGGUAGUCCACGCCGUAAACGAUGAGUGCUAAGUGUUGGAGGGUUUCCGCCCUUCAGUGCUGCAGCUAACGCAUUAAGCACUCCGCCUGGGGAGUACGACCGCAAGGUUGAAACUCAAAGGAAUUGACGGGGGCCCGCACAAGCGGUGGAGCAUGUGGUUUAAUUCGAAGCAACGCGAAGAACCUUACCAGGUCUUGACAUCCUUUGACCACUCUAGAGAUAGAGCUUCCCCUUCGGGGGCAAAGUGACAGGUGGUGCAUGGUUGUCGUCAGCUCGUGUCGUGAGAUGUUGGGUUAAGUCCCGCAACGAGCGCAACCCUUAUUGUUAGUUGCCAUCAUUUAGUUGGGCACUCUAGCAAGACUGCCGGUGACAAACCGGAGGAAGGUGGGGAUGACGUCAAAUCAUCAUGCCCCUUAUGACCUGGGCUACACACGUGCUACAAUGGGAAGUACAACGAGUCGCGAAGUCGCGAGGCUAAGCUAAUCUCUUAAAGCUUCUCUCAGUUCGGAUUGUAGGCUGCAACUCGCCUACAUGAAGCCGGAAUCGCUAGUAAUCGCGGAUCAGCACGCCGCGGUGAAUACGUUCCCGGGCCUUGUACACACCGCCCGUCACACCACGAGAGUUUGUAACACCCGAAGUCGGUGAGGUAACCUUUUUGGAGCCAGCCGCCUAAGGUGGGAUAGAUGAUUGGGGUGAAGUCGUAACAAGAAU